UAUGAACCCGUGGAUCCCAACAGCGCGACGAUCCAAAGCUUCGCUCACUUUGUUGUCCAUGAUCACAACAAUAAACAGGAAACGAAACUGGAGCUUAAGAAAGUCCUGAAAGCAGAAAAACAGAAGGUGGAUGGGACCAACUACCAUCUUACUUUGGAGGUAACUAAGGGAGGUCUUGUCGAUGGCAAUCUUCCCGAAUUUUAUAAGGCCAUUAUCUAUGUGGACGUCAAGGAAUUCAAUCAAAUUGUGCCCCCCUGAAGGCUCUACCACUUAGCUGGGUAACUGCUAUUAAA
rnacentral:misc_RNA from 1 species